rnacentral:rRNA from 1 species
AGUUGGAUCCUGGCUCAGAACGAACGCUGGCGGCGUGCUUCAUACAUGCAAGUCGAACGUGAAACAGACUUUCGGGUUUGUGGAAAGUGGCGAACGGGUGAGUAACGCGUGAGUAACCUGCCUUUAAGUGGGGAAUAACAUCUCUAACGAGAUGCUAAUACCGCAUAAUAGAUGUCUCGCAUUGGGAUAUCUUAAAAGAUGACCUCUGAUUCAAGUUGUCGCUUCUAGAGGGGCUCGCGUUCCAUUAGCUUGUUGGUGGGGUAACGGCCUACCAAGGCUAUGAUGGAUAACCGGCCUGAGAGGGUGUCCGGUCACACUGGGACUGAGAUACGGCCCAGACUCCUACGGGAGGCAGCAGUAGGGAAUAUUGCGCAAUGGCCGAAUGGCUGACGCAGCAACGCCGUGUGGGUGAUGAAGCUUCUUGGAGUGUAAAGCCCUUUUAGUGGGGACGAACCGCAGGGGUGUUAAUACCACCACUGCCUGACGGUACCCACAGAAAAAGCUCCGGCUAACUUCGUGCCAGCAGCCGCGGUAAUACGAGGGGAGCGAGCGUUGUUCGGAUUUACUGGGCGUAAAGGGCGUCUAGGCGGGCUUUCAAGUCAGAUGUGAAAUCUCCCGGCUUAACUGGGAGCCUACAUUUGAUACUGUUGGCCUUGAGUACAGAAGAGGAAAGUGGAAUUCCUGGUGUAGCGGUGAAAUGCGUAGAUAUCAGGAAGAACGCCAGUGGCGAAGGCAGCUUUCUGGGAUGAUACUGACGCUGAAGCGCGAAAGCGUGGGGAGCAAACAGGAUUAGAUACCCCUGGUAGUCCACGCUGUAAACGAUGGGCACUAGGUGUUGGGAGUAUCGACCCUCUCAGUGCCGAAGCUAACGCAUUAAGUGCCCCGCCUGGGGAGUACGAUCGCAAGGUUGAAACUCAAAGGAAUUGACGGGGGCCCGCACAAGCGGUGGAGCAUGUGGUUCAAUUCGAUGCAACGCGAAGAACCUUACCGGGGUUUGACAUGUAUUGGAAAACCUGAGAGAUCAGGUCCUCCUUCGGGACCAAUACACAGGUGCUGCAUGGCUGUCGUCAGCUCGUGUCGUGAGAUGUUGGGUUAAGUCCCGCAACGAGCGCAACCCUUGCCCUUAGUUGCCAUCAGGUUAUGCUGGGCACUCUAAGGGGACUGCUGGUGUUAAACCGGAGGAAGGUGGGGAUGACGUCAAGUCCUCAUGGCCCUUACGUCCCGGGCUACACACGUGCUACAAUGGUCGGCACAAAGAGUUGCAAUGCCGCGAGGUGGAGCUAAUCUCAGAAAACCGGCCUCAGUUCGGAUUGCAGUCUGCAACUCGACUGCAUGAAGUUGGAAUCGCUAGUAAUCGCGGAUCAGCAUGCCGCGGUGAAUACGUUCCCGGGCCUUGUACACACCGCCCGUCAAGCGAUGAAAGCUGGGAGUACCCGAAGUCGUAGUUCUAACCUUUAUGGGGGAACGCGCCGAAGGUAAGACCAGUGAUUGGCGCUAAGUCGUAACAAGGUAACC